GCUGCCCCGGCUGCUCGAAGCCCGUGUCACAUCGGCGCCCGGCUGCCGUCGCGUUUUCGGAGGGAGCUGCCGCUCGGUUCCCCGAGUGCUAACGCGGUCCUGAGGGCUCUCAGUCCCUCUGGGGCUUUUCAGCGGGGACUUCAGUUUCUCCCAGCCUUAUCGGCUGAGCGGAGGUUGAGCAAAACCUCUCGUCAUCCCGACCCGGUGAGAUGGUGGAAGCGGUGUUUGGGAGUCACUAGCUUCAGGAGCCUGAUCUCGCUCCCGUUAUGAAGACGUGGUGGGAGAGCUCGCAUGACUGAAACGCUGUUGUGGAUGGCUGCGUUCCUUAUAGGAGAGACAAACGGGUGAGGUGGUGGGUUUCUCUUCCGGUGAGAGAACUGGAAUGUACUGAGCUUCCACGACAAGGUGAUGGGACAGCUUGGGUCUAGGUGACAGCUGCAAGUGACCUGAUGAGCAAAAAUUUCAAAGUAGUCCUGGUGAAUUCGGUGAGGGGAAGUGAUGCUGGACCAAGGAGGUAGCCUUCUGUGUUGUGACUGGUUAGACGAGAGGAGGGCUGUGGAUGGUAUGGGGGAAUAUCUUGCUGUCGGAAAUUAACUGAAGUGCAGGAGUCUUGCUGACGGUGACGACGGGCUCAUUCAGGCACCGACAGGAGGCGUGAGGUGGAAACAUUCACAGACCGGAACGUCAGAAGUAAGACUGCUUGUGCUGCGAGAGUGAUAGAAUAGGCUGCGGAGUCUCCUUCUCCGUGGGAUUGCAGGUUGCCUCCGGAUGCUGUUCCGGGUGAUGUGUAACCGGGAAACGGCCCCGGACGACAUCGUCGCAGGGCGAGUGCCGCAACGGAGCAUUUAGCAGCGAGGAUCCGCCUGAGCAUGGGAGCGGUUUCACCGGCGGUGAGCGACCCGAGAGCUGCCCUCCCCCAGCGUCCUCUGAGAAGCGGUUCACGGAGCUCUCCUGCGUGUCCAGGGCCGGAGCGAGGAUCGUGCUGGUGAGGUUGUGUUGCAGCAGGCAUCCUGAGAGGAAAGUCCCUGUCCUCGGCUGGCAGGCGUGCUGCACCCAUGGAAGGAGCAGAGGAGAGCCCCCAGGUGAAGGCAAUUCAGCUGCCCUCCUGGAAGGGGUGGAGCCUGGCUGCACCUCUCUGAGAUCCAUUGAAGAGCUGACUAUGAGUGUGGAAGGAUCUCUUGGAGUCUUCCCUGUAAGCCUGGAAAAAGGUAAGCUUUUCUAUUAUUCUUUGGUGUGGUGGCUUGUUUGGCCUAAGUUUUUUUUUUUUUUGUCUGGGUGUCUUCUAAGCUUUGUGGUUUUGUUUUUGGUUUUUUUUGU